ACACAAUCUUAAAAUCUUCCCAGCUUAGAAGAUUCUUUCCAAGUAUUCUUUUGUGUUUUUUUUUAACCUAUAAAAGAUAAUGGAAUAUAUUUUAUAGACUGGAUUUUAUCUUAUCCCUUUCUCUCUCCCGGCUGCACUCAGUUUAAUAGUUGUCAGGGCUUUUUUUCCCCCGUGUUUUUCCUAAGUGUUGGAUUUAAUUAUAUGGGACCAAAAUAUAUACCUCAGUAAAUUAGCUUGCUAAAUAUUCUGUCAUUUUGUGAUUCUGCCUUUGAGAAGCAGCUUAAUUACAGAAAUCUAUCU
rfam:Felis catus c414001268.Contig1, whole genome shotgun sequence.